rnacentral:rRNA from 1 species
UACGGAGGGUGCAAGCGUUAUCCGGAUUCACUGGGUUUAAAGGGUGCGUAGGUGGGUUGGUAAGUCAGUGGUGAAAUCUCCGUGCUUAACAUGGAAACUGCCAUUGAUACUACUGAUCUUGAAUUUUCCGGAGGUAAGCGGAAUAUGUCAUGUAGCGGUGAAAUGCUUAGAUAUGACAUAGAACACCAAUUAGCGAAGGC